rnacentral:lncRNA from 1 species
GCAUAGGCUCUGAUUGCUACUGUAUCUGGAGCCCCAAAUGGUUUGAAGGCAACCUGCCUCAUAUUGCUGACUUUAAGUCAUCUGUACAAAUUCCCUUCAGGCUCAAGUUAGGCAGUGAUGCAGAGUUCAUGCUGGUGUAAUGUUGUGUGUGUAACAUCUAUCACUUGAUACCUAUCAAACAAAACACGUUGGUUUUUGCUCUACAGCUCAAUACUUCGCAGUGAGGUGGAUCUGUGUAAGAAAGUUUGGGGAACACCAUUGGGAAUUAAUGAUCUGUUACAGGCAGGGGAAUUGGGAAUGAAGGAGUUACUGAUGAUCUAACGUCUCUGCUUCAAUAAAGUACACAAUACCCUCCUUCAUUUUAGAUUGAACAAAGACCUCAGAAGCAUCUCCUGCAGUCACUGGGGGGUGUACCUGUUGUUCAUAAUAUCUCACAUGGUUUUGUUGCUGAUGUUUUUCUAAAAGAAACAAAAUUAUACAGAUGCUUCAAGGAAGUGGCAUUGCUAUAGGAGAAAGUUAUUUUAAGAUCAUGCAAAUCAUCUGGCUGAGCUUUACAAAAGGGAACUCUGUUUUUGGAUAUGCAAUCAGCCAGAGUUGUAAAGACUGUCUUGGCCAAGUUUCAUGCUCUAUGAAUGUUUUCCCAAACUCUGUGAUUUGUGUUCUUCCUAUCAAAAAUUAUAUUCUUCCUUUUAUGCUCAAGAGUGAGACCAGCUGAAUAGCAAUGGACCAUACAACAACCUAGCUGCCAACCCUCUCCUGAGCGGGCAUAGGCAGGAUGUUCUAUCUGAAUCUCAGGAUCCUUGCAUACUCUUCCCAUCCUGAUAGGCCUUCCUCACUCCUGUGGGGGGAAAACUAGACCUCCUCCUUACUCUAAUCCAUUCUUCCAUAUCAUUCAACAAGACCUGGACAGACCAGAGAGUUGUGCAGGUAGGAACCUGACAAGGUUUAACAAGUGUGGAGUCUUGCACCUGGGGAGGAAUAACCAGAUGCAUCAGUACGGAUAAGGGGGUAACCUGCUGGAGAUGAGUUGUGUGGAGAAGGGCCUUGGUGCCCUGGUGGACAACAGGUUGGCCAUAAGUCAGCAAUGUGCCCUUAUGGCCAAGCAGGCCAGCGGUAUUCUGGGGUGCAUUAAAAACAGAGUGACCAUCAGGUUGAGGUAGUCUCUCUCUACUCUGGCCUGGUGAGGCUGUAUUUAGAAAACUGUGUCCAGUUCUGGACUCCUCAGUUCAGAAAAGACAUGGAUCUCCUAGAAGUCCACUUGUGGGCGGUCCUAUUGAGAGUGGCUAUUCAGCCACUAAUGGCUGAGGGAGAUCUGUAUUCAAUUACGUGUGCUCCAUAAACACCUUUUACCCCUUUUAUACCUUUCCAGAAUCUCCCUUCAAGAUGCACCUCUUACAUGCCGCUUGCUUGGGACUGGAAAGGUGAGGGAAAAUACCAGAGGGUUCUUGAGGGUCUUCAGCAGCAGAUUAGCAACAAAUGCCUCCCAGCAGUGCUCCCUUGUAGCUGAGAAAUAGAAGGCCAUGGCUUCUUUGCCCAGAGCAUGCUUGGGUUUAGCUGGGUUCUGUGAAACCUUGCCUGGAGGCAGCCAGGGGAUUGCAUUCCUGUGCAGAUGAAGGCAUUGAUGGAAGGCACAGCCUUCUGGUGUAGCCACCUGGAGGGCUUGGCUACAGGAAACAUGACUGCAGAAAGUCUGCAAACUGGUAGACUGUCUGGGAAGCGGGUAAGGACUGAAGCAGGAAUUCAGCUAUUCCUCUGUUCUCUUUGUUCUGCUACAGCAUAUCUGUUCUCAAGGGACACUCCUCUAAUUUCUCCCUAAAAUUUAGAAUACGUAAUAAACUGAUAGAGACCUAAGAAUGCCAUUGCCUAUUUGUCUUCUUGCUUUCUCCCUCUCUCUCUGCCCUCCUUGAGCUAUAGAUUUUCAUUUGGCUGCUGGCAAUGCAGUAUCUGUCUCUUACCCUCUCUGUGAAGGACUUCUCAUCAUUACCAUCACAGAGAUAGGGGAUCUCAGGUUCAAAAAGAUGAAAUGGGUAGACCUGUGGGUCAUAUGCACGUUACUCAGUCCUCUCCAAAAAACAGUUCUUUCCUUUUCUACUUUUUAAUGAUAUUAGCAACCUCUAAGCACCAAGAGUGUCAUAAACUUUCCAGAUUAUAGUAAUAAUAACAUUGUACAGUACACUGCACUGGGAAUAAAAUUAUUUUACCCACUCCAAUUUUCUUUUGUUUUAAUGUGUGAAUAUAUCAAAUGAAAGCGUAGUAGGAAGUCUCGAUAUAGGGGCCAAAUGUGUUGCAAGCCAGCUCUUUCUGAAGGAAGAGCUUAAUGCUGCAGGUUCAGAGCUUGAAUUUUGCAUUGUAAAGUGUCUGGCUUUGAAUAUUUGGUUGGCUCAGUUUCUCUAGAGUGCUUUGUGUAGUUCUGCUCCUAAAACGUUUAGUAGGACAGGCUGUAUCUGCAAGACUCAUUCCUUGUGGGGCUCCUCUGUGAAUGGCUGAGAUUCUUUCUCCAUGUCCAGCACUUGCCUGAUGUUCUAACCUUUCUUUUCACUCCCAAGGGCCUUCUUGAAACUGUUUCCUUUGAGAAGCAGGUCCUGCGUGUUGCCAGGACAAGAUGGCAAACUGUCAUCCUGAAAUCCUCUAGGAGAUGUGGGAUGAUGUCAAACAACGUAUUCUUUCUGUUCAACAUUCUAUUCAAACACAUUAGAAGUACAAUUAAUCCUCACCAUCUCUCUGUCUAUCUAUGGUAUGGAAUGAGAUGGCUUUCCCAGCCUUUGUGUAUUGUGACAGGCUGAGCUUGGAACCAAGACUUCUGGAGUCCCAUCCUAUGAUUUAACACAAUCCUUUGGGAGCUGGAUUCAUCCUUUGCUCAGCCUCCUUCGCUCCUAUCAGGUUGUAUUUAAGGCUGUUUUCUCAGCCUCCCAUGCCAUUUCCUUGAGCGCUUUUCUCUCCAAGACAGCCCUAGGCUUUUUGGUCUCACUUUUGAGAGAUAUGAGUUCAUAUGAGGUUUAAAACAUGGUAAAAUGAUUGUUGGUCUUGCAGGAGACCUGGUGCUGUGAUUGCAGGAGAGAUGUUACAGCUUGAAUAGUAGUGAUUCAAUUAAGGUGAUGUCUCUUUCCACUAAAUGGAGCUUAAGGUAUUCCUAAUGGUAGCACAAAGCUGAAUGUACACCCCCAUGUUUCUAAGCUUUGUGACAGCCCAGGUGGACCCGGGGGGAUUGGGGAGAGAAGAAUUAAACUGACACAAUGUUUAUCUCCAGCAUUCUCAUUUUGCUAUAGGUUAGUGCUAUAUAUUGCUUUACACUGCAGAGCAAGGAUUAAUUUAUAUAAUAUUUCUAUCAAACUCAGGUAACAAUGAUGAUGACAAAGUGUUUUGGUACUGCAGCAGUUCACAAAAACCCUCUUGUACAAUACAGCUGUACUUACUGUUUUGCUGUGGAAAUUCCCUAUGUAGAAAUGCCUUUAGGCAGGUGAGAUGGAGGUUACAGAAGGCAGGUAAAAGUAUGGCGGUGGGAUGGCCAAAGGGAGAAGCAUGCAAGUUGGAAGGCUUGAGGCUAAAGAGUUUGUGCACCGCGUGGGGCACAGCCGAGCAACUUGAGGCAACAUUUAACUGGGAGCAAGAGCUGCAGAUAAAUAUUCUAAUUCUCCACGGGGUGGCUGGCAAUUAGUUUUCACAGCAAGGUCAUGUUUGCAAAGGGAGAACAGAGCCACCAGCCGGCAAACAUAGCCCAGAGAAUGAGAAGAGAGAUUUCGAUAGCUUUGCUGCUGUAGGGUGUCAGGACCCCACUGAAACAGGGGUAGUAUAGGUCAGGAGGAGUGUGUGCUACAGGAUAGGAAGGGACAGGGUUUUUCUCUUUUAAUCAUAGAGAGGGAGUCUUCAGCAUCACAGAGCACGUCUUGGCAUUGUGAGCAAUGUUCUGCAGUUCAUGUGGGUAGAGGUGUUAUUAUGGCAUGUCUGCGGAGGGCUGGAGCAGCGCGAUAAGAGGCAGUAUUUUGGAUUUGAAGUGUACUGGCAAAGGUUACAUGGGCAUCUGAAUUGCUGCUCUGCCAUUGUUCACUUGACAAGCAAUCAUGCAGUCUUUUACUGAUAAGUCACUGUUUUACUUAAAAAGCGUAUACAUGUGUUCAUAUGUAUAUAUGCACAUAAGUUCCUGCAUUCUCCUUCCUUCUGCGUUGAAAAAGAAUUUUCUGCCAUCCAGGCAGGGGAAGGUCACUCAUCUGCUCAGUUGUAUUAGUGGAGCUUUGACAGCUGGUUUCAGAGAUGGCAGGCAAGUUCCUACAAGUCCUGCAGAUGAAAAAGAUUAAGGGAGUUUAUGCCAUCAUACUGUUCAAAUAAACGUACUGCUUCUCUUAGUCAAUAGCUUCGAUAGCAAUGAGCCCAUGAUGAUUUUGCCAACCAAGUAACAUCAGACUGGAAGGGCAGUGAGAGACUGGCAUGGGUUGCCCAGAGAGGUGGUAGAUACCCCAUCCCUGGAGACACUCAGUGUUGGGCUAGACGAUGCUCUGAGCACUCUGGUGUAGCUGUAGGUUCCCUGUUCUCUGUUGCAGGAGAGUUGGAUCAGCUGACCUUUUAGGGUCCUUUCCAACUCAAACAAUUGUGAUUCUAAAAAGAGAAUAGCUUGCUGCAUGACUGUGCCAUGAUGGAGAGCCCAGCAGCAAGUGCAGCUUUCUGCCCACAGUCCUGUGGCCACUCCUGUGUCAUAGCUGCUCAGGGAUCAGUGCUUUGUAGUGACACCAGUUUGUACAAGCUGACCUCUGCUGCCUAAGCCCAGCCUGCCCUGAGUCUGUGCUGCUGGUGGAUGAAAUCAGCGUAAAUCUGAGCACUUCUAUUUGCCAUCUGGUUGGGUUUAGAGCAUUUUGGUCAUGCCUGGAGCAGAAUAAGAAAUCAUUAAAAAAAAAAAAUAAAAUCCAUGAGUGAAAAUAGUAGUUCAGCUAACCUUGAGGAAAAAGUGGGUGCUCAGUUCAGCUGUGACAGGUGGUACAAAUCAGUGUUUGUUUCAGAAGACUCACUCAGGC